GCUGGCGGCAGGCCUAACACAUGCAAGUCGAACGCCCUAGCAAUAGGGAGUGGCAGACGGGUGAGUAACGCGUGGGAACGUACCCUUCGGUUCGGAAUAAGCCGGGGAAACCUGGUCUAAUACCGGAUACGUGCGAGAGCAGAAAGAUUUAUCGCCGAAGGAUCGGCCCGCGUCCGAUUAGCUAGUUGGUGAGGUAAUGGCUCACCAAGGCGACGAUCGGUAGCUGGUCUGAGAGGAUGAUCAGCCACACUGGGACUGWGACACGGCCCAGACUCCUACGGGAGGCAGCAGUGGGGAAUAUUGGACAAUGGGCGAAAGCCUGAUCCAGCCAUGCCGCGUGAGUGAUGAAGGCCCUAGGGUUGUAAAGCUCUUUCGCCAGGGACGAUAAUGACGGUACCUGGAUAAGAAGCCCCGGCUAACUUUGUGCCAGCAGCCGCGGUAAUACGAAGGGGGCUAGCGUUGUUCGGAUUUACUGGGCGUAAAGCGCACGUAGGCGGAUUUUUAAGUCAGGGGUGAAAUCCCAAGGCUCAACCUUGGAACUGCCUUUGAUACUGGARGUCUCGAGUCCGGGAGAGGUGAGUGGAACUGCGAGUGUAGAGGUGAAAUUCGUAGAUAUUCGCAAGAACACCAGUGGCGAA
rnacentral:rRNA from 1 species